rnacentral:rRNA from 1 species
CCUACGGGAGGCAGCAGUGGGGAAUAUUGCGCAAUGGGGGCAACCCUGACGCAGCCAUGCCGCGUGAAUGAAGAAGGCCUUCGGGUUGUAAAGUUCUUUCGGUGACGAGGAAGGCGUGAUGUUUAAUAGGCAUCACGAUUGACGUUAAUCACAGAAGAAGCACCGGCUAACUCCGUGCCAGCAGCCGCGGUAAUACGGAGGGUGCGAGCGUUAAUCGGAAUAACUGGGCGUAAAGGGCACGCAGGCGGCUAUUUAAGUGAGGUGUGAAAUCCCCGGGCUUAACCUGGGAAUUGCAUUUCAGACUGGGUAGCUAGAGUACUUUAGGGAGGGGUAGAAUUCCACGUGUAGCGGUGAAAUGCGUAGAGAUGUGGAGGAAUACCGAAGGCGAAGGCAGCCCCUUGGGAAUGUACUGACGCUCAUGUGCGAAAGCGUGGGGAGCAAACAGGAUUAGAUACCCCAGUAGUC